GCGCCCGUAGCUCAAUAGGAUAGAGCAGUGGUUUCCUAAACCACCGGUCGGAGGUUCGAAUCCUCUCGGGCGCA
rnacentral:tRNA from 1 species